rnacentral:rRNA from 1 species
GACGAACGCUGGCGGCGCGCCUAACACAUGCAAGUCGAACGGAGCUGAGAGAAGCUUGCUUUUCUUAGCUUAGUGGCGAACGGGUGAGUAACGCGUGAGUAACCUGCCCUGGAGUGGGGGACAACAGUUGGAAACGACUGCUAAUACCGCAUAAGCCCACGAUCCGGCAUCGGAUUGAGGGAAAAGGAUUUAUUCGCUUCAGGAUGGACUCGCGUCCAAUUAGCUAGUUGGUGAGGUAACGGCCCACCAAGGCGACGAUUGGUAGCCGGACUGAGAGGUUGAGCGGACACAUUGGGACUGAGACACGGCCCAGACUCCUACGGGAAGCAGCAGUGGGGGAUAUUGCACAAUGGGGGAAACCCUGAAGCAGCGACGCCGCGUGGAGGAAGAAGGUUUUCGGAUUGUAAACUCCUGUCGUUAGGGACGAUAAUGACGGUACCUAACAAGAAAGCACCGGCUAACUACGUG